UACGUAGGGGGCUAGCGUUGUCCGGAAUCAUUGGGCGUAAAGAGCGUGUAGGCGGCUUGGUAAGUCCGCUGUGAAAGUCCAGGGCUCAACCCUGGAAAGCCAGUGGAUACUGUCAAGCUAGAGUCCGGAAGAGGCGAGUGGAAUUCCUAGUGUAGAGGUGGAAUUCGUAGAUAUUAGGAAGAACACCAGUGGCGAAGGCGGCUCAGCUGGUCCGGUACUGACGCUGAGGUGCGAAAGCUCGGGGAGCAAAUGGG
rnacentral:rRNA from 1 species